UAUAAAAAAUGUCCUUUUUAAGUUUGGUUAUCAUAUACACUCAUGGGAAUGUCAUUAAAAACAAAUCGGAUGAUAAAUUUAAAAUCUAAAAAGAAAAAAGUUAGAGCUUUCCGAGAAGCUUUUUCAUUUUUAUUUAUGAUUUCAUUAUUGUUGAAAUAAAUGGAAGCUCUGGAGAAGCUUCUCUCCCGAUUCCCCCUUUUUUGUUGCCGGCUUUCAAUUUGUGCUUUAAUUUAUGAUGUUGUGUAAAAAAAACCCAUUUUUCAAGAAAAGCCAUGCAUUUGAUUUCCGAAAGUGUUACUUUUGUUGGGGUUUCAGGAAUUUCACAGAUUAUGCAUGAGGUCUAGAAAUCUAUAGGAUGGUUUCAUGAUGAAUCAAAUUUGGGAGCCCGGUGAAGAUUGCAGCAAGCUAGCUUCAAAGGAGAUUGCUUUUUAAGGGUCAGUACAUCUCAUUCACCCACCAAAUUCAGUAGUUUGCUAAUACUUACCAGUAGUUUAUUUUAAGCCUGGGUGAGGAUGUAACAAUUGAUUUCAUCUCGAGUUCAGUGCUUUACAUUUCUAUUGGGACAAAUGACUCUAUACGUUACUACUUGUGUAAUGUAUCUAAUGUGCAAAAUCUAUAUCUACCUUGGGGUUUCAACCAGUUCUUAGCGUCUACAAUGAGGCAAGAAAUUAAGGUGACCAUAACAGUCGUCUCUUUGUUUUGGUUUACUUCUCCAUAUGCUGCCAUUAUAUCUAAUGCUGAGUAUCAUUUACUAUCUAGCCAAACUAAUUAAGCUUCUUUCUUCAAAUUGAUUGACUUUUUGCAUGAGUUUGUUGGUGUAGGAUUGUAGAAAAUUUUGCCAUGUGCCUUAGCCCUCCAUCAGUUCUGAAAGGAAUGUAACAGCAUUACAAUACAUAUAUAACAAAUUUAUAUAGCAAUAAAUAAUAGAUUUUUAUGGACAGUGUUCAGCUGGCGGGAAGGAAUCAACUUUCUCAUUUUUAGGAAUUAUGUUUUCUUUUCUUUUUCGUUUCCAUUAUCUUUUCAGUAAAAUCUCAAAAUAGAGUGUAAAACUCAAAGUUUUUUUAAGCUAAAAAUGAUGUCGAACCCAUAGGGAAACUAUUAGCAAGAAGCAAACCACGCAUCAUUUUCUUUCAAUGGAGCACACUUGAACAACGGGAAUUUUCUUGGAUUGGACUUUAGAAGAACAAAUACUUGAAGACAGGUUAAAAAAAUUGUUUGGCUCCUAGCGAACUAUCCAUACUUUGGCAUUACGUUGAUGACUACUGAUAGAAAAGCUGGCCAAUCUAUGGGCUCAGUGUUUCCUCAUUUGAUAACACAAGAUCUGCCAACUAUGGUUUCGAUUAAGGGUGCAGAAUUUUCCAAUAUGGAUGCUGUGUUUUGUUGUUUGCCUCAUGGAACUGCACAGUGCCCUGAACUUUCCUUGCAAGACAGUUUAUCUUCUUUACUUUAAAAUAGAGUCAUCUUAUCAAUUAUCAUGAUAAAAUUUGUUUAUUUCAUUACCUUUUAGGACAUCAUCAAAGGCCUCCCCCACCAUUUGAACAUUGUUGAUCUUUCUGCGGUAUGCUUUUAAUUCACUUAUUUUUCUAUUCUUUUAAAGAUCUGUUUAUAUGCCUGGUGUAAAGUUCUCUGUUUCUGUAAUAUAUUAUAAAAUAACUUUCAAGACUUUCUGCUGAGGAAUAUUGCUGAAUAUGAGGAAUGGUACGGUCAACCACAUAUCUAGUGCUCCAAACUUGCAGGUCUUUAUUAUUAUUAUUGUUAUUAUUAUUAUUAUUAAGAAAAACAUUUGCUUCAAAUCAAGCCAUUUUAUAGUUUAAAGUUUGGGGCUUUAUUCUUCUAUGUUAGUACUUCAAAAAUGAAAGGUAGUUGAAAUAUAUAAUAUAUUGUAAAUAAAAUUUUACAACUUUCAAACAUUCAACUUCCA